GAUGAACGCUGGCGGUAUGCUUAACACAUGCAAGUCGAACGGACUCUUCGGAGUUAGUGGCGGACGGGUGAGUAACGCGUGAGAAUCUGGCUUUGGGUUCGGGACAACCACUGGAAACGGUGGCUAAUACCGGAUGUGCCGAGAGGUAAAAGAGAAAUUGCCUGAAGAUGAGCUCGCGUCUGAUUAGCUAGUUGGUGAGGUAAAGGCUCACCAAGGCAGCGAUCAGUAGCUGGUCUGAGAGGAUGACCAGCCACACUGGGACUGAGACACGGCCCAGACUCCUACGGGAGGCAGCAGUGGGGAAUUUUCCGCAAUGGGCGAAAGCAUGACGGAGCAAUACCGCGUGAGGGAAGAAGGCUCUUGGGUUGUAAACCUCUUUUCUUAGGGAAGAACAAAAUGACGGUACCUAAGGAAUCAGCAUCGGCUAACUCCGU
rnacentral:rRNA from 1 species